UACGUAGGGUGCAAGCGUUAUUCGGAAUUACUGGGCGUAAAGCGUGCGUAGGCGGUUUGUUAAGUCUGUUGUGAAAGCCCCGGGCUCAACCUGGGAAUGGCAAUGGAUACUGGCAAGCUAGAGUGCGGUAGAGGGUAGUGGAAUUCCCGGUGUAGCGGUGAAAUGCGUAGAGAUCGGGAGGAACACCAGUGGCGAAGGCGGCUACCUGGACCAGCACUGACACUGAGGCACGAAGGCGUGGGGAGCAAACAGG
rnacentral:rRNA from 1 species